GCGGAUAUGGUUGAAUGGUAGAAUAUCUCCUUGCCAAGGAGAUGACGCGGGUUCGAUUCCCGCUAUCCGCC
rnacentral:tRNA from 1 species